CAAAAAGCUUUAAUUGAUUCCAGUGAGAUUUAAUGUCAAACAAAAAACUUUUAGACUAAUGUAAUUAUGAUUAUUUUUAAAUAUAACAAUGGAUGUUUUUGCAAAUUUAUAUUAACAUAUUGAUAAGAUUGAUUGAAAAUUUUUUAUUAAAAAUUAAUACAUAAAAUUAUAAAAAUUUGAUGUAAAUAGAUGUUGUGACCACAGGGUUAGCACUUCUUUGAUGUCAUGUCAGGACUGACACCACUGUAUCUCAAAAGACACAGAAAUUGUGAUGGACAUUAGUUAUUAGGUUCAUGCACAAACGGUUGUGCUUGUAGGCAGUUGGAUCCAAGAUGGAGAGACCAUUGGAAGAAGUGUACUCAACUAGAAAAUUAAUAUUAAACAAUACCCAUUUAUUUACAUAAGCAUUUUACAUUUCUCUACAUAAGUUAUAAAGAUUUAUAUAAGGAUCUUAGCUAGAUGCUAGUUUUAUAAGGAUCUCUACAAAGUAGCUAUUAUCAUUAAUAUCAUGGGUCACUUACCGUGAGAGAGAGUUUAUAAUAGUCCGCAUGUAGAUGAAUACCUUAGUUAAAUCGAGGAGGAUGAUUCUUUUAUUAAAGGAUUGGCAGAUUGAUAAACUUCUGGUCUGCAGGAUCUUUCAAUGACUCAAAUUGGUGCUUUGAUGUAAAGUUGAGAAAGUCUCUGGGUAUCUUAGGUUGAUGGCUAUGGUGAAGAAUGGCGUAAGCGGUAUCCAAAGAUCAGGUGAGAACAUGAUUCAAGUGAUGGUGAACUAUCGAUGAUAACGAAUGGCGAUUGUCAUUGAUCCCCUUUUUUUAUUGGGGAUUUUUCCAGUUUCUUUUCAUGCCCUUAUUUGGAAAUGUUAUAAGUUGGGACCAAUGGUUGAAUUUUGAUCGUAAGUUCCAUGUGACACAUUAGGAAGAUGUCACCUUUGAAAGGAAGUGAAUCUGGAGAGAUACAAUCAUAUCCUUUAUAAUUAAUAAUCCUGGAAAAAAUUAUAGCAAGUUUUAAUAAAUUUCAACAAAAAUUUUGUUCAAAAUUUUAUCAAGUCUGGGCUCUCACAAUAUUUUAAAAAUUGCUUCUAAGAUGAUUUCAAUUCACAAAGUUAAGUCAUGUUUAAAUAAUGUAUUUGUAGAUUAAAAAUAUUUGAGAAGAAAAAAAUCUACAAAAUUCUGAAAAUUAAUUGAAUAACAAGUUGUUAAAGCAAAUAUGACUAUAAUAAUUGAAUUGUGAGGUUGCUGUUUGCCUGUGGCUGUUGCUGAUGCAAAAAAAUUAACAGGUAUAAUUUUGGAUUUAUUUAGUGAUUUUCUUUCUGAAGUUUAUGGCUAAUAUAAUUCCUGAGAAAAGAAAAUUCUCUCUUUAGUUUCUCAAAAUGCAUCUACAAGAAGGUAAGAAUGCAAUCUGAGAAUGAUGAUGAAGGGAAAAUACUAAGAAUAAAGUUUAAAAAAUAUAAUACAUUGAUCUGGCAAGAUUUGAAACCCUAACUUCCUGAUUACCAAACUGGCACACCUUCAUAGAACCACUGGCCACUUUAUAAACAAUAGAAAUUCUAAAGGUUUUAAGUGAUUGUGCAAUUUUCAACUCUAUUUUUGAGUAGUGCACAUCUUUGGGGUUGCACUAUAUCUUCACUGAGUUUGAUCAAAAUUGGUGAACCCAACAUCAUGCAGUCCCCUUGUUAGCUAUGGCCUAUAUUCUUUGUGAUGACAAGUAAGUUAUGAUUUUUCAUAGAGAUACUGGAGAUUUUGAAUGAAUAUAUAAUAUGAAGUAAAAUGCUGUUAAGAUGUUCCUUUAUGAGAUGAUUUCCUACCUGAGUCUUCAAAUUCUGCAGUGCUGUCAUUUCUCCCAUAAGACACAUGUUAAAAAUUUCUGCAUAAGAUAUUCCUGCACAAUAUUUUAUAAAAUAUCAGUCUCAUGGAGCAAUUUUUACUCACUUAUAAUGAUCACAUUGAUGAGAAAUAGUGUUUUUCUUAGAAACUGUAUGCACAGGGAUACUGUAGUUUCAAUGGAAGGUCAGUGUAAUGUUCAUUAUUAGUGAUAUUGGGAAUUAAUAUAAAAAUUUAUGAAGUUAAUUUAUUGGUCUAAUGCUAACAAAUUUUAAAAUUGAAAAUGUCAAAAUUUAGAUUACAAAUGAAAUUUGUUAAGUUUGAUUCCAGUAUCACAAUUAGAUGAUUUCUAACUGAUUUGCUUAGAUUUCUAUCCAUUUAAUGUACAGAAAUUGAAAUAAUGCUUUUGAUUGGCUGACAGAUUUCAACUGUAAACAAUUUUGUGUUUGAAUAUGAAAGUUACUGUACUCUUUCCUAAAAUUUUUAAUUUCAUGCAGUGAUUGCUUAGAAAAAAAAAUCAUUUGAGUAAUGAUGGCUUUAAAAACAGUAUAAACAGGCAAUAUCUGUUUCGUAUCUCUACUUUCCAAUGAAGUUCUGUACCUAUUUAUCAUAUUAUAAUUGUAUGUAUAUGUUAUGGACUAAGUGAUUAAUAGGACAUUACAGUAUUUAUAAUACCCAGCCAUUAUGAAUAAUGACUAAAAUGGCCAGGCAGCCUGAUAAAUAUUGACUAAUUUAUUAAAUUGACAGGACAUUAUGAAUAUAGUUACAUUCCCUUUGGGCAAUUUGAUUUUUAAAAAAUCUCCACUUUUUUUAUUAAGAAUUAGGCUAUUUAUUUUUUGUGAAUUAUUUCAAAAUAUUUUAAAAUCGACAUGAGAUCUUUUAAAAGAUUAUUAUACCAUGGAGAUGCAUCCUGUAGAUGAUGAUGAACCAAAUAGUGAAUUAAUUAUUCAAGAUUCAUCUAUUGCUGAUUCCAAACAGUCAGAAAACUGCUUACCAAAAAAAGUAUCAGAUAAAUUAUCUGAAAAUUCAGUUAUUGUUUUAGAUGAUGGAAUUUUACAAAAAGAUGAUGAAGUUAUUUAUAUGGGAUCAAAAAGAGGCAAUAUUCCAAGAUCUCGUAUUACAGGUAAUUUUUGUGUUUUAAGUUAUAUAUUCAUCAAAAGUUUUUUCCCCCCAAAUUUAGGGUAGGUGUAAUAUUUUUAUCAUGUUCAUGAUAUAUUUGAAAUAAGUUCUCUGUUCAAAAUGGACCUCAGCUAGUACUAA